rnacentral:rRNA from 1 species
GAUGAACGCUGGCGGCGUGCCUAAUACAUGCAAGUCGAGCGAACGGACGAGAAGCUUGCUUCUCUGAUGUUAGCGGCGGACGGGGGAGUAACACGUGGAUAACCUACCUAUAAGACUGGGAUAACUUCGGGAAACCGUAGCUAAUACCGGAUAAUAUUUUGAACCGCAUGGUUCAAAAGUGAAAGACGGUCUUGCUGUCACUUAUAGAUGGAUCCGCGCUGCAUUAGCUAGUUGGUAAGGUAACGGCUUACCAAGGCAACGAUGCAUAGCCGACCUGAGAGGGUGAUCGGCCAGACUGGAACUGAGACACGGUCCAGACUCCUACGGGAGGCAGCAGUAGGGAAUCUUCCGCAAUGGGCGAAAGCCUGACGGAGCAACGCCGCGUGAGUGAUGAAGGUCUUCGGAUCGUAAAACUCUGUUAUUAGGGAAGAACAUAUGUGUAAGUAACUGUGCACAUCUUGACGGUACCUAAUCAGAAAGCCACGGCUAACUACGUG